rnacentral:rRNA from 1 species
AGAGUUUGAUCCUGGCUCAGGACGAACGCUGGCGGCGUGCUUAACACAUGCAAGUCGAACGGUGAAGCCCUUCGGGGUGGAUCAGUGGCGAACGGGUGAGUAACACGUGGGUAACCUGCCCUGAACUCUGGGAUAACUCCGGGAAACCGGGGCUAAUACCGGAUACGAGCUGGAGCGGCAUCGCUCCGGCUGGAAAGUUUUUCGGUUCAGGAUGGACCCGCGGCCUAUCAGCUUGUUGGUGGGGUAACGGCCUACCAAGGCUUUGACGGGUAGCCGGCCUGAGAGGGCGACCGGCCACACUGGGACUGAGACACGGCCCAGACUCCUACGGGAGGCAGCAGUGGGGAAUAUUGCACAAUGGGCGAAAGCCUGAUGCAGCGACGCCGCGUGAGGGAUGACGGCCUUCGGGUUGUAAACCUCUUUCAGCAGGGACGAAGCGAAAGUGACUGUACCUGCAGAAGAAGCACCGGCUAACUACGUGCCAGCAGCCGCGGUAAUACGUAGGGUGCGAGCGUUGUCCGGAUUUAUUGGGCGUAAAGAGCUUGUAGGCGGCUCGUCACGUCGGGUGUGAAAACUCGCGGCUCAACCGCGAGCCUGCACCCGAUACGGGCGGGCUGGAGUUCGGCAGGGGAGACUGGAAUUCCUGGUGUAGCGGUGGAAUGCGCAGAUAUCAGGAGGAACACCGGUGGCGAAGGCGGGUCUCUGGGCCGAUACUGACGCUGAGAAGCGAAAGCGUGGGGAGCGAACAGGAUUAGAUACCCUGGUAGUCCACGCCGUAAACGUUGGGAACUAGGUGUGGGGUCCAUUCCACGGGCUCUGUGCCGCAGCUAACGCAUUAAGUUCCCCGCCUGGGGAGUACGGCCGCAAGGCUAAAACUCAAAGGAAUUGACGGGGCCCGCACAAGCGGCGGAGCAUGUGGCUUAAUUCGAUGCAACGCGAAGAACCUUACCUGGGCUUGACAUGUUCGGUCUACCUGCAGAGAUGUGGGGGUGCUUC